AUACGAACGAGACUCUAUCCUACUAACAUCUGCUUUUUGCGGAAUUAGAAGGUAAGACUCGACGGUAUACACACAACGCGAGCGAGCUCGUCUCGCUCGAUACGUAAUCGUGCCGUUUGUCUGCCUGUCCUCUGUGUGGUGAGAGUACGCACACAGCGCGAAAAGAAUUGUGCGCGUGUCGUGUCGCUGCUCUUCCUAUGUCCCGCGGCUGCGCGCGUUCGGCUUCGGCAGUGCGUCGUUAGUUCGCGGCGAUAUACGGUUAGAGUUUGGCGGCGCGGUCGCUAUCAUCUUUCGCGCGCGGUUUUGCUUCUCGAACCCGGAGGAACGAAAUAUCUUCUUAGAGGUAUCGACGACUCUUUAGAGUCGUAAGAAAGAGAGAGCAAUAACAGGUCUGUGAUGCCCUCAGAUGCCCCGGGCUGCACGCGAGUUACAAUGCCGGGUCUAAUGGGUGUUGACUCUCUUCGAGAGUAUACUCCUUCUCCGAGAGGAGCGGGUAAUCCCUAAAACCCUUUCAACGCGGCGCGUUCCUACGUCUCGUUUAUACGCUGCGUAGUGCGCGUCUUAUGUGGCUCGCUUGGGCCUGGGGCUUGCUAAAGUAUUUCCCGUGAACGAGGAAUGCCUCGUACUGGCCGAUCACCAGUCGGUCGGGAUUGAGUCCCUGCCCUUUGUACACACCGCCCGUCGCUACUACCGAUUGAGCGUACCGGUGAGAGUCUUGGAGUAGAGCAGAGUUUUUCUUAGCUUGUGUUCGACCAAGAGAUUCCAACCGGUGCACUUAGAGGAAGUAAAA
rnacentral:rRNA from 1 species